AAUUAAUUAUUAAUUAAAAUAAUAUUAAAAUUAAAAAUUUAUUUUAGUAAAAUUAUUUAAGGAAAAAAUAUUAAAAAUUUUAAUAGAAAAUUAGUAAAGUUAUUGAAUUUUUAAAAUUUUUAAAUAAAUUUAAAAUUAAUAAAAGUAAAUUUAAUAUAUUGUAUCUUGGGUAUCAGAGUUUAAUAAAAAAAAAUAAAAAUUUUAUAUUUCUCGAAAAAAAUUAAGAGUUAAAAAUUAAAUAUUUGUUAAUGUUUCAAAAUUAUAAAUAAUUAAUUUUUGGUAAUGAAAAGUUAUUCGUUUUUUUUUAUAUCUAGUUUUAAAAGAAAUAAAUUUAAUUUAAUUUAUUAUUUAUAUAUUUUUAAAUUAAUAAUUGUAUUAAGAUUUAUAUUUUAGAAUAUUAUAAUAAUAUAUUUAUAUAUAAAGGGUUAAGCUUUUAUAUAAAUUUUUAUAUUUAUUUUUUUAUUAAAUAAAAUUAUAAAAUUAAAAUUUUUUUUUAAUUGAAAAUAUUAAUUUAUUAUUUAUUUUUAAAAAUUAAUAUUUAAAUUUUAAAUUAAGUAUUUAUUUUAUUAAUUUUGUUAAUUAUUAUUAUUAUGAAUUAAUGUUAUAAUUAGUAUAAUUAAGUAUAAAAUUUAAUUUUGAAAUUUAUAAUUUAAAAUUAAUUAAUUAGGCAAAAUUUAAAUUAUUGUAUUGAAAUUUAAUUAUUUCACAUGUUUAACAAAAACAUGUCUUUUAGUUUAUAAAUUUAAAGUCUAAUCUGCCCACUGAAAGAUUUUUUAAAGGGCUGCAGAAUUUUAACUGUACGAAGGUAGCAUAAUAAAUUGUUUUUUAAUUGAAAACUAGAAUGAAUGAUUUCAUGAGAAUAAAACUUUAUAUAUUUUAUAUUUAAAAUUUAUUUUUUUUGUAAAAAAACAAAAAUAUUAUAAAAAGACGAGAAGACCCUUUAGAUUUUUAUUUUUUUUUAUUUUUAAUAGAUUUUAGAAGUAAGUUAAGAUAUGUAUUAUUAUUAUUUAACUAAAAAAAAAUUUAAUUGGGGUGAUUUAUAAAUUUUAAAACUUUAAUUUUUUAGAAUAAAUAAUUUGAUUGUAAAGUAAAAUUUAAAAUUUUAAUAAAAUGAUUUAAUUUUAUGGAUUAAAAGAUUAAAUUACCUAAGGGAUAACAGCGUUAUUUAAAUUUUUAGUUCAUAUGGAAAUUUGAGAUUGCGACCUCGAUGUUGGAUUAAGAUAAAUUGAAAAUGCAGAAGUUUUAAAAUUUAGUCUGUUCGACUAUUAAAAUCUUACAUGAUCUGAGUUCAAACCGGUGUGAGCCAGGUUGGUUUCUAUCUUUUAUUUAAAAUUAAAUUUUUUAGUACGAAAGGAUUAAAAAUUUAAAAUAAUAAAUUUUUGGUUGAAUAAAUGAAUUUUAAUAAUUAGUUUACUUA
rnacentral:rRNA from 1 species